GACGAACGCUGGCGGCGUGCUUAAUACAUGCAAGUCGAACGGAAAGACCCUGCUUUUGUGGGGUGCUCGAGUGGCGAGCGGGUGAGUAACACGUGAGUAACCUGCCCUUGACUUUGGGAUAACUUCAGGAAACUGGGGCUAAUACCGGAUAGGAGCUCCUGCUGCAUGGUGGGGGUUGGAAAGUUUCGGCGGUAGGGGAUAGACUCGCGGCUUAUCAGCUUGUUGGUGGGGUAGUUGCUUACCAAGGUUUUGACGGGUAGCCGGCAUGAGAGGUUGAACGGGCACAAGGCGACUGAGAUACGGAGCAGACUCGAACGGGAGGCAAUAGGGGAAAGUAUUGCGCAGUGGGGCGGAGCGAGUGGCGAAGGCGCCGCGUGCGGAAUGCCGGCCUUCGAGGUGAGAACCACUUUCGCAGGUGACGAAGAGGGAGUGACGGUAAUGGGUAAAGAAGCACCGGCUAACUACGUG
rnacentral:rRNA from 1 species